ACAUGAAUAUACAUACAUAUUUCAAGUGUUCCCUCUUUUACCGCCAUCGGCCGCCAUUGGCGCCUUCACGUUCUUUACGGUUCUUUCUUCCCGUCGUGCCAAGAGAGUACCAGCCACGUGUUGUAUGUGUAAAAGUGCUAUCUUUAGCCAAGCAGUCUGUAAGAGGCAUUUAGAGUGUGCAGAUAUAUCUGCGAAUAUAUUGCGCAGAGGAUAGCGCAUACAGUACGUUGGACGUUUGCGCAGAGGGUAGCGCACAGAAUACAGUACGGAGAUUUGGACCCCAGAGAACAAUAUGACGUCUUAAAGACGUCUUUUAGACGUCUUAUGUCCCGAUUUAAGACGUUUUUUAGCCAUGUCUUAUGGACGUCUUUCUGACAGUCUUAUGGACGUCUUGUGGACGGCUUAUGGACGGCAUAUGGACAGCUUAUGGAUGUCUUAUGGACGGCUUAUGGAUGUCUUAUAGAAAAAAAUGAUUUUUUUAUGUUAUUUAUCAUUUAUUAUAAGAAAAAUAUACAUUUAAUGUAAUAUACAAUGCUUAUUAUUAUUAUUCCACUAUUGUAUAUCUUGUUAUAAAGAAAUGGCGUCAUGUUGGA